GCGAAAUGGUGCUAAGAUGGCGGCCGCUUGUGCAGAGGGGCGGCUGUGAAGGAGACUGCCCUAUUCAGGACGCCGCCAUGGCUUUCGCGCGUCUUCUCUUUCACAUUGCUGCAUUGCUUGUCUGGCUGAUUACGCUACGGCCGAGCUUGCUGUUUAUUCGUUCCUUACUCGGUGCUCCCCCGCUAUCGUGGCCACCCUCCUCCUCCUCCUCUAACGCAGCCCUUUUCCAACACCCCCUAUCAGUCCCGCUGGGUAUUCGCUCCUCUGCGGCAAACGCGCUCUCUUCUGCUGCGUACACUAUACACACGCGCUGCCCAACGCGCGCACACACACACACACACACACCGACCCGCAACACGUUUUUGGUUCUAUAGUUUUUCCCCCUGCUUCGACGCGUCUAAGCGGUCUGAGCCUCCUCUCCUCCGUUCGUGAAUCAAAACGUGACACGCCAUCGCGCCCGCAUUCCGAGACCGGAAAGGCCGCCGCCGCCGCCGCGGAGGCUCGUACCCCACGUGACCACAUACGCGUCUGUGACGUAAAGCUUGUGACAAACACCACGUGACCUUGACGCACGUGAUCAUCUUCGCGCUCUCCACAGCUCCCUCCUCCUCUCCGUUUACGCGCUUGCCGAGCGUUAUAAAAACGAGCGUAGCUCGAGAGCUUGGUCGAAUUACGCUUCUCUGCGCGCAAGUGCUUCAUCCUCCGAUCGAGAUCGUUCGGCUCUUCUCUUGGGACUUUCGGACCCCGCCCCAUCAACAGCGAACAUGUCCAGCUCCGGAGACGUCUGCUGCGAAGGCAAGCCCGAGUGCUGCAACGAGACCAGCGAGGUGAAGAACGACGCCGAGCCCAAGGCCGAGGCAGCUGCCCCCGAGGUGCCUGAGGCGGCGCCGGCUCCGGCCGGCGGCGAGAGCGCCGCACCGGCCGACGCUGUGCCGCAGGACGGCGCCAGCUCGUAGCCGCCCGCCGCGGACAAAGCUAACCGCCUCUGCCGCCUCUUCGCCGCUGCUUCGCACCUCUCGCCGCCGCUGCCGCUGCGUAGACCCCCGCCGGCAACCGCCUCGUCCGAUCGGCGAGACCGCCGCGGGUCCUGCCGUUUGGUCUUUUCUGGUCAUCUGAAACUCUCCGCCUUGCCUUACCGGAAGUAUUGGACCGUAGGGAUGCCCUGACUGUUGAUCGGACACUGCAAUUCUGCCCGCAAUGUCGCCAUCCCAUUCCUUCCGCUUCCUUCACGCCGUCUAAAAGCCAAGCCUACGCAACCGAAACAAGCCAGUCCUCGCACCACGAUCAAUUCAUCCGUACGAAAACGUUAUUCCUUUUGUAUGCUGACCGAAAUUGACACUGUCGACGACGGCAAGCAAACGGCCAGCUACCAUGUCAGUACUGUCCGCAGUCGACCGAAACCAUCCAAGCCGCUCGUGGGCCUGAUUUCGCUCCGCUUGUCACCGGAAGGGUUGACUCGGCAGGAGAGGGGGUUGAACAACAACGAAGCUAUAAAAGCAGCAGGCGGGAGCUGCGGAGCGGUGCAAACGCGAGUCAGAGUUGAUUCCUAAGAUAUAAAAAAAAGUGAAACGAAAACGCGCGGAGCGCCCACUUAUCCUAUAUGCUAUAUAUUUAUGUAAUAAAAGCAUUCAGCUCGUGUAUACACAGCUGGCGACAAAAAAAAUGACAAAAAAAUCAUAAAAAUGAGAGAAAGGAGAAGAUAGAGGCGGUGCGCCCUCUUCUUUUU